AAGACAACCGCGAGAGGAGAUUGC
rnacentral:siRNA from 1 species